GUGGGGAAUUUUGGACAAUGGGCGCAAGCCUGAUCCAGCAAUGCCGCGUGCAGGAAGAAGGCCUUCGGGUUGUAAACUGCUUUUGUACGGAACGAAACGGUCCUGGUUAAUACCCGGGGCUAAUGACGGUACCGUAAGAAUAAGCACCGGCUAACUACGUGCCAGCAGCCGCGGUAAUACGUAGGGUGCAAGCGUUAAUCGGAAUUACUGGGCGUAAAGCGUGCGCAGGCGGUGCUGUAAGACAGGCGUGAAAUCCCCGGGCUCAACCUGGGAAUUGCGCUUGUGACUGCAGCGCUGUAGUGCGGCAGAGGGGGAUGGAAUUCCGCGUGUAGCAGUGAAAUGCGUAGAUAUGCGGAGGAACACCGAUGGCGAAGGCAAUCCCCUGGGCCUGCACUGACGCUCAUGCACGAAAGCGUGGGGAGCAAACAGGAUUAGAUACCCCAGUAGUCC
rnacentral:rRNA from 1 species